rnacentral:rRNA from 1 species
AUGGCGUCUUCUUCUUCUUCUCCAUCGUCCACGGCAAUCCAGAUAACUCCACCAAUCAACAACGAUGAUAGUGAAAUGGCAGUUAAGGGUACGGCAGUGCCAACUCCUACCACGGACAAGGUCAUGUCGAGUGUCGCGAACCUUGCGCAGCUCCUGCCGACGGGCACGGUGCUGACAUACCAGGCGUUGUCCCCGUCCUUCACCAACCACGGUAAGUGCGAGACCUCCAACCAGUGGCUCACCAUGGUGCUGGUUGCCGCCCUCUCCUCCGCGUGCCUCUUCUUCUCCUUCAGCGACAGCAUAGUCAGUCACCGUGACGGAAAGCUAUAUUACGGCUUCGCCACACCGCGCGGCUUCAAAGUGUUCAACUUCUCCAACGAGGAGGAGAGGCAGGAGUGGAACGAUAUUGACCAGUUUCAGAGGCUCCGCCUCCGGCCACUGGACUUCGUGCAUGCCUUCUUCACGGCCGUGGUUUUCCUCACAGUGGCGUUCAGCGACGUGGGACUUCAGAACUGCUUCUUCCCGGACGCCGGCAGGAACAGCCAAGAGCUGCUCAAGAACUUGCCGCUGGGAAUGGCGUUUCUGUCCAGCUUUGUGUUCAUCAUCUUCCCCACUAAAAGGAAGGGCAUCGGAUUCAACCACACCACUCCUCCCCAGAAGGUUGUCCAUCCCAUGAAUAAAGUUUGA